rnacentral:tRNA from 1 species
GGAGAGGUGGCCGAGCGGCUUAAGGCAACGGUUUGCUAAACCGUCGUACGGAGUAAAUCCGUACCCCGGGUUCGAAUCCCGGCCUCUCCG